AGGAGGAGCUGCCAUCACUGCCGUCCCGUCCAUGGAGCCGCCUUCGCGUCGCCGUCGUGCUUCGAGGUCAUCGCUCUGUGUCACUGAGAGAAGCCCGAGAUGGAGAUGAGGGAGACGCGAGCCAAGGACUGCGACGAGGAGGAAAAGCCGCCAUCACCUUCACUGGAGCCGCGAUCGCUGUCACCGUUCUGCCUUUCCCUGAGCCGCUAAUACCACCAUAUUCUUCCAAUUCCAUUCCUGUUCCGUGAGAGUUGGCUACUGCAGUUUCUGUUUUGGGGUUUUCUGCCAUUGAAGCUACCAUCAACAGCGCCACUCUCCAUUUUGAUUCUAAUUCUGUAAUUCAAAAACCUCAAAACAAUAUUUUCAAGGCUCAUGUGGAGAAGUACAAAUCAAGAAUAAAUGCACUUGAAACUCUUGCGGCUGGGGCCACUGAAGAGAAUAAGGUAGUUUCUUUGUUGAUUGAGCUGGGGGUGUGGAACUUUGCUAUAGGGAAUAGAAGUGCAUAUGAGUUCUGUUGCUGAGAAGAUCUGUGAUCUGGUUGCUGUUGCUAGGUUUUUAAAUGCAACUCUCAUAAUUCCUGAAAUUCAAGAAAGUACUCGCUCAAAAGGAAUUAGCUCUAAGUUCAAUAGCUUUUCCUAUAUCUACAAUGUUGAUCAGUUCAUAGCCUAAAGCAAUCUAAGUUCUGCCAGAAGGUCUGAUGGAAAGGAGAAGAAAAAAUAAAAUUCCUUCAUUUAAGACUACAAGUUCUGCUUCUCCAGACUUUUACCUGGAUCAAAUUUUACCAAUGCUAAAGCAAUCAAAGGUUAUCAGAUUAAUUAUUACAAAUGGUGGGGCUCUGCAGGAAUACAUGAUGUGAUGAAGAAAAUAUGUUCCAUACAAAUAUCACAUGGGAUGGGUCUUACAAAUGACCUUAGUUAUGUAAAUGUAAUAUUUUGAUGUGUUAUGUACUUUUUGAGAUACAUGUAAUUGGAAAACUACACUCUAUUUUGAUUUGUGUUGUUUAGACUAAAAAUUAAA